UUCCGGUUGAUCCCGCCGGACCCUAUUGCUAUCGGGGUAAGACUAAGCCAUGCGAGUUGUGCGCUCCCUAGCCAUGUUGGGAGAGCAGCAAACGGCUCCGUAACACGUAGUUAAUCUGCCCUUAGGACAGACAUAACCCUGGGAAACUGGGGCUAAUAUCUGAUAGAUGGAAAUGCUUGGAAUAGCCUUCCGUUGAAAGGUUUCUGAAAACAUGCUUUCAGGGACGCCUAAGGAUGAGACUGCGUCCGAUCAGGCUGUUGGUGGGGUAACGGCCCACCAAACCUAUAACCGGUACGGGCCCUGAGAGGGGGAGCCCGGAGAUGGGAACUGAGACAAGGUCCCAGGCCCUACGGGGCGCAGCAGGCGCGAAAACUUCACAAUGUGCGGAAGCGCGAUGGGGUUACCCCGAGUGCCGUCCGAUGAGGAUGGCUUUUCUCCAGUGUAAGGAUCUGGGGGAAUAAAGGGGGGGCAAGACUGGUGUCAGCCGCCGCGGUAAUACCAGCCCCCUGAGUGAUAGGGACGAUUAUUUAGCCUAAAGCGUCCGUAGCCGGCUUAGUAAGUCUUUCGUUAAAUCUGACGGCUCAACCGUUAGGCCGCGGGAGAUACUGCUA
rnacentral:rRNA from 1 species